CCUACGGGUGGCAGCAGCGAGGAAUCUUCUACAAUGGGCUCACGCCCGAUAGAGCAACGCCGCGUGGAGGACGACGGCCUUCGGGUUGUAAACUCCUUUCGGGGGGGAUGACACAGGACAGUACCCCCAGAAGCAGCCCCGGCUAACUCUGUGCCAGCAGCCGCGGUAAGACAGAGGGGGCAAGCGUUGUCCGGAAUUACUGGGCGUACAGCGCGCGCAGGCGGCCGGCAAGGUGCUUGGUGACAAAUCCUGGCUCAACCAGGAAGGGACCGGGUAGACCGGCAGGCUGGAGGCAGGGAGAGGGAUGUGGAAUACCCGGUGGAGCGGUGAAAUGCGUAGAGAUCGGGUGGAACACCAGGGGCGCAGGCGGCAUCCUGGCCCUGUACUGACGCUGAGGCGCGAGAGCGUGGGGAGCGAACCGGAUUAGAUACCCCGGUAGU
rnacentral:rRNA from 1 species